rnacentral:rRNA from 1 species
UCCGAAGGGGGCUAGCGUUGCUCGGCAUUCCUGGGCGUAACGGGAGCGUCGGCGGAUAGUUAAGUCAGAGGUGAAAGCCCAGGGCUCAACCUUGGAAUUGCCUUUGAUACUGGCUAUCUUGAGUAUGGGAGAGGUAAGCGGAACUCCGAGUGUAGAGGUGAAAUUCGUAGAUAUUCGGAAGAACACCAGUGGCGAAGGCGGCUUACUGGCCCAUUACUGACGCUGAGGCUCGAAAGCGUGGGGAGCAAACAGG